rnacentral:misc_RNA from 1 species
AACGCACGAGACCUGCGGACCUGCGGAGGGAUCAUUACUGAGUAACGUGGUCUUUUUUCAUGACCCGCUACCCGCCCUUUGUCAUAUGUUGGACGAGGUCGUCUUUAGGGGCGGCCUCCGACCCCACUUCCCGGGAGGCGUUGCGCCCCAUCAAAGUCUAGGCCUUGAUGAGGAUGGGACCGCCCGGGGUCUUUUUCAAACCCUUUGUGAGAAAUAUGAAGUCUGAAGCGAAAGCUUAAA